CCGCGUCCGUUACUCGGGUGACACCUGACCCGCUCCCGACGGGAAGCGUCUUUCUUCCUUGGUAAGAGACGUAAGAGCGAGCGGGGCAAUCCGUCUCACGAGAAAUUGAAGACGAGAAAAACGAGAAAGAGAAAAAGGAAUGGAGGAGACGCAGCAACAACCGAAGAAGAAGAGCAAAUACAGCAUUAUAGUCCCCACCUACAACGAGCGUCUCAAUAUAGCCCUCAUCGUCUACCUCAUCUUCAAGCAUCUCAGGGAUGUUGAUUUCGAAGUCAUUGUGGUAGACGAUGGGAGUCCUGAUGGAACUCAAGAAAUUGUAAAACAGCUGCAACAAGUGUAUGGGGAGGAUCGCAUACUAUUAAGAGCAAGACCAAAGAAGCUUGGUCUAGGAACUGCUUACUCUCAUGGACUGAAGCAUGCGUCUGGCGACUUUAUUAUAAUCAUGGAUGCUGAUUUAUCCCAUCAUCCGAAAUAUUUGCCAAGCUUCAUCAGGCAACAAGUGGAGACUAAUGCAAGUAUAGUUACUGGGACCCGAUAUGUACGAGGUGGUGGUGUGCAUGGAUGGAAUCUUAUGCGCAAACUGACAAGUAGAGGAGCUAAUGUGCUUGCUCAAACACUUCUAUGGCCUGGAGUGUCAGAUUUGACUGGUUCUUUUCGGCUUUAUCGGAGAUCUGUUCUUGAAGAUGUCAUCAACUCAUGUGUCAGUAAAGGAUAUGUCUUUCAAAUGGAAAUGAUUGUUAGGGCUUCUAGGAAGGGAUACCACAUUGAAGAGGUUCCCAUAACCUUUGUCGAUAGAGUUUUCGGUAGCUCGAAACUAGGAGGAUCAGAGAUUGUCGAAUAUCUCAAGGGCCUCAUGUAUUUGUUGCUCACGACCUGAAUUGGAGGAGAAAUGGUCCUGCUAAGCUCACUUGCUGCUGUUGCUAUGCACGAGGUAGUUAUCAAUCGAGGAAGACGGUGAUCGACCUCAUCACAUCCUCCCCUGCGUCAACAUGGGACCUUAGGCCAUUUAGAAUAGUGCCCAAAGGAUGGUUCUGAUUAUCAGCCAACUUCAGCAUGUGGCCCACCUGAAAACUGCAAGUAAAAGGGGAGUGAAGAAUAGCAGGCAUGAGCAAGAACUUUCAGGAGUAUGCUAAUUUUACUUACUGCAUUGAGAUUGACAGCCCUUUGAGGCAUGCGUGCCAACAUCUCACAUGUAUGCUUCAUCUGUGACAUUUAUCAUGUACGACCUGCCAUGAACAUGCUCUGGCUCAAAAAUUAGGCCCCAGUUUGUUAGGCUAGUCCAUACAUUGAAUAUGAUGCAAGUGGAAUAUGUCCAUGGUCAGCUUGUAAUCAUCCAUCUAUUUUGUGCAUUUGUAGGCCAGCCUGAUCUUUUAGGGGCCAAGUAAUUUACA